GAUGAAGAACGCAGCGAAAUGCGAUAAGUAAUGUGAAUUGCAGAAUUCAGUGAAUCAUCGAAUCUUUGAACGCACAUUGCGCCCGCCAGCAUUCUGGCGGGCAUGCCUGUUCGAGCGUCAUUUCAACCCUCGAGCCCCCCCGGGGGCCUCGGUGUUGGGGGACGGCACACCAGCCGCCCCCGAAAUGCAGUGGCGACCCCGCCGCAGCCUCCCCUGCGUAGUAGCACACACCUCGCACCGGAGCGCGGAGGCGGUCACGCCGUAAAACGCCCAACUUUCUUAGAGUUGACCUCGGAUCAGGUAGGAAUACCCGCUGAACUUAAGCUUAUCAAUAAGCGGAGGA
rnacentral:misc_RNA from 1 species